rnacentral:rRNA from 1 species
CUUCCAGGAAAAGCUCCUAAGCUUCAGCUUACGCAGACCGUACCGUAAACCGACACAGGUGGGUAGGAUGAGAAUUCUCAGGCGCUUGAGAGAACUCGGGUGAAGGAACUAGGCAACAUGGCACCGUAACUUCGGGAGAAGGUGCACCCUUUUUGGUGGCUCGUGCGAGCUAUAGCUGAAGAGGGUCGCAGUAACCAGGCCGCUGCGACUGUUUAUCAAAAACACAGCACUCUGCAAACACGAAAGUGGACGUAUAGGGUGUGACGCCUGCCCGGUGCUGGAAGGUUAAUUGAUGGGGUCAGCCGCAAGGCGAAGCUCUUGAUCGAAGCCCCAGUAAACGGCGGCCGUAACUAUAACGGUCCUAAGGUAGCGAAAUUCCUUGUCGGGUAAGUUCCGACCUGCACGAAUGGCGUAACGACAGCGGCGCUGUCUCCACCCGAGACUCAGUGAAAUUGAAAUCGCUGUGAAGAUGCAGCGUUCCCGUGGCAAGACGGAAAGACCCCGUGAACCUUUACUAUAGCUUUACACUGAACGUUGAGUUCGUCUGUGUAGGAUAGGUGGGAGGCUAUGAAACUGUGGCGCUAGCUGCAGUGGAGCCAUCCUUGAAAUACCACCCUGUCGUGCUUGACGUUCUAACCUGGGCCCAUUAUCUGGGUCGGGGACCGUGUAUGGUGGGUAGUUUGACUGGGGCGGUCUCCUCCUAAAGAGUAACGGAGGAGCUCGAAGGUACGCUCAGCGCGGUCGGACAUCGCGCACUGUGUGCAAAGGCAUAAGCGUGCUUGACUGCAAGAUCGACGGAUCAAGCAGGUAGGAAACUAGGACUUAGUGAUCCGGUGGUUCUGUAUGGAAGGGCCAUCGCUCAACGGAUAAAAGGUACUCCGGGGAUAACAGGCUGAUACCGCCCAAGAGUUCAUAUCGACGGCGGUGUUUGGCACCUCGAUGUCGGCUCAUCACAUCCUGGGGCUGUAGUCGGUCCCAAGGGUAUGGCUGUUCGCCAUUUAAAGUGGUACGCGAGCUGGGUUCAGAACGUCGUGAGACAGUUCGGUCCCUAUCUGCCAUGGGCGUUGGAGAUUUGAGAGGGGCUGCUCCUAGUACGAGAGGACCGGAGUGGACGAACCUCUGGUGUUCCGGUUGUCACGCCAGUGGCAUUGCCGGGUAGCUAUGUUCGGAAGCGAUAACCGCUGAAAGCAUCUAAGCGGGAAGCGCGCCUCAAGAUGAGAUCUCCCGGGGCACAAGCCCCCUGAAGGAACCAUGUAGACUACGUGGUUGAUAGGUCAGGUGUGUAAGUACAGCAAUGUAUUGAGCUAACUGAUACUAAUGAUCCGUGCGGCUUGACCAU